CAAAAUCAGGGAAUAGAAAAAACCAUCGUUUUUGGGUGAACCUCUUUAGGCGUAUUAGUUAUGCCAUUGACUAGAGGUUCAGUUAAUGAUGUUACAUUC